rnacentral:lncRNA from 1 species
CAUAGGUCAGAGGCUGGAAGCGUUGUAGACAAAGGCCAGGUGUCCGUGGCACCUGAGGAAUGUCGCAGCUUCAUGUCUGGUCGCCCUUCACAGACUCCGGAGCAUGAUGAACAAAUGCAAGGGGCUAACCUGGGGCGAAAAGAUUUCUGGCGCAAGAUGUUCAAAUCUCAGAGUGCAGCAAGUGACACCAGCAGUCAGUCCGAGCAGGACACUUCCGAGUGCACCACGGCCCACUCAGGGAACACCUCAGACCGGCGCACCCGCUCACGGUCCCGCAGAAUUUCCCUCCGGAAGAAGCUCAAACUCCCCAUAGGAAACUGGCUGAAACGGUCAUCCCUCUCGGGCCUGGCAGAUGGUGUGGAAGACCUCCUGGACAUCAGCUCUGUGGACCGUCUAUCCUUCAUCAGACAAAGUUCCAAGGUCAAGUUUACCAGUGCUGUGAAGCUUUCUGAAGGUGGGCCUGGGAGUGGUAUGGAAAAUGGAAGGGAGGAGGAGGAGAAUUUCUUCAAGCGUCUUGGUUGUCACAGUUUCGAUGACCAUCUUUCUCCCAACCAAGAUGGCGGAAAAAGCAAAAAUGUGGUGAAUCUUGGCGCAAUCCGACAAGGCAUGAAACGCUUUCAGUUUCUGUUAAACUGCUGUGAGCCAGGAACUAUACCUGAUGCGUCCAUCCUAGCAGCUGCCUUGGAUCUGGAAGCCCCGGUAGUGGCCAGAGCAGCCUUGUUCCUGGAAUGCUCCCGCUUUGUCCACCGCUGCAACCGUGGCAACUGGCCCGAGUGGAUGAAAGGACACCACGUGAACAUCACCAAGAAGGGCCUGUCCCGGGGACGCUCCCCCAUCGUGGGAAACAAGCGGAACCAGAAGCUGCAGUGGAACGCUGCCAAGCUCUUCUACCAAUGGGGAGACGCAAUUGGCGUGCGGUUGAAUGAGCUGUGCCAUGGGGAGAGUGAGAGCCCAGCCAGCUUGCUGGGCCUCAUUUACGACGAGGAGACCAAGAGGAGACUGAGAAAGGAGGAUGAGGAGGAAGACUUUUUAGAUGACAGUACUGUGAACCCCUCUAAAUGUGGCUGCCCCUUUGCCUUGAAGAUGGCAGCGUGCCAGCUUCUCUUGGAGAUUACCACCUUCCUAAGGGAGACCUUUUCUUGCCUGCCCAGACCUCGCACUGAGCCUCUGGUGGACUUGGAGAGCUGCAGACUUCGUCUGGAUCCUGAGUUGGACCGACACAGAUAUGAGAGGAAGAUCAGCUUUGCGGGGGUCCUAGAUGAAAAUGAAGACUCCAAAGAUUCUCUCCAUAGCAGCAGCCACACCCUCAAAUCAGAUGCAGGUGUGGAGGAGAAGAAAGAAGGGAGUCCUUGGAGUGCAAGCGAGCCUAGCAUUGAGCCCGAGGGAAUGAGCAAUGCCGGCACAGAGGAGAAUUACCACAGGAACAUGUCGUGGCUUCAUGUCAUGAUCUUGCUAUGCAAUCAACAGAGUUUCAUCUGCACACACGUGGACUACUGUCAUCCACACUGCUGCCUGCACCACAGCCGCUCCUGUGCUCGGCUGGUCAGGGCCAUUAAGCUGCUGUAUGGAGACAGCGUGGACUCCCUGAGGGAGAGCAACAACUUGAGCAAUGUGGCUCUGCGGGGCAAGAAACAGAAAGAGUGCUCAGAUAAGUCAUGCCUUCGGACACCUUCUCUAAAGAAGAGAGUUUCAGAUGCCAACCUGGAAGGGAAAAAGGACUCUGGGAUGCUGAAAUACAUCAGGCUUCAGGUGAUGAGCUUAUCACCUGCUCCCUUGUCUCUGUUAAUCAAGGCAGCACCAAUUCUGACAGAGGAGAUGUAUGGAGACAUCCAGCCAGCUGCCUGGGAGCUGCUGCUCAGCAUGGAUGAGCAUAUGGCAGGGGCAGCAGGUAAAGAAAAACCACAUGGGACCUGGCUCCUGCAGCCCCUGCCAAUACUGAUCCAAGUGUUAAAAUAAGAGAGAGAGGCAUUUACUUCAUUUUUUUCUCCUAGGUCAGG